rfam:Papilio machaon contig28505, whole genome shotgun sequence.
ACAUCGGCUCUUUUAAGAGCCAAAAACAAUGUAACCAUGGCUCUUU